rnacentral:lncRNA from 1 species
GGAUCAUGCAAUAUUUUCUUUCUGUCUCUGGCCCAUUUCACUUAGGAUAAUGUACUUCAGGUCCAUCAAUGUUGUAAAUUUAAUGAUAUCAAGUGGUGCUUUUUUUUUUUUUUUUUUUUUGAGACAGAGUCUCACUCUGUUGCCCAGCCUGGAGUGUAGUGGCAUGAUCUCGGCUCACUGCGACUUCCGCCUCCCAGGUUCAAGUGAUUCUCGUGCCUCAGCUUCCCCAGUAGCUAGGAUUACAGAUUGAUGAAUGGCAUAUGCUGUGAUCUACAAAAUAGUACAUCUGAUAGCACUGCACAAUAGAAUCGAUCAUGCAGAGUCUAGGAAUAAGCCAGACCAAUGCAAAGUUAACCUCAUGAUUCUCACAUCUUAAAAUAUUAUCUGGAAAGAUUACCACAGUGAUUUGUCUUGAAUGAAUUCCAUCCUUAUUCUAUCCCUCCAGAGUGCUAACUGAAUUUAAAGCUUCUUUUUUCACUUAUUAUUUGUGGUCAUUUCUAUGUUUGAACAUUUGCGUGUAUGUCCAGGAAUGUAUUUUGUAUCAUCCAUCAAGUAAAAAUAGUGAUUCAUUUAUAAAGUACUUAAGUCAGAAUCUAUCCCAGUAUUAGAGGCAGAAUCUAGUCAGCAGUUUCAUCUUUGAUGGAUUGUGUUGUCAGAGCUUUCAAUGAAUUGGCAAUUUCUACUUGUAAGCUGUCUUCUAGAAAAGAUGAAAGUAUUCACAAGACCUUAAGCAAGUAUCUAAUCAUCCAGUUAUCUUGUAUUUACAGCAGUAAGUUUAAUUAUAAUAAAG